rnacentral:rRNA from 1 species
CAGUAGCCGCGGUAAUACGAAGGGGGCUAGCGUUGUUCGGAUUUACUGGGCGUAAAGCGCACGUAGGCGGACUUUUAAGUCAGGGGUGAAAUCCCGGGGCUCAACCCCGGAACUGCCUUUGAUACUGGAAGUCUUGAGUAUGGUAGAGGUGAGUGGAAUUCCGAGUGUAGAGGUGAAAUUCGUAGAUAUUCGGAGGAACACCAGUGGCGAAGGCGGCCAUCUGGGACAACACUGACGCUGAGGCACGAAAGCGUGGGGAGCAAACAGGAUUAGAUACCCCCGUAGUCCCUGUCUCUUAUAC